GCUCCUACGGGACGCAGCAGUGGGGGAUAUUGCACAAUGGGGGAAACCCUGAUGCAGCGACGCCGCGUGGGUGAAGAAGCGCCUCGGCGCGUAAAGCCCUGUCAGCAGGGAAGAAAAUGACGGUACCUGAAGAAGAAGCCCCGGCUAACUACGUGCCAGCAGCCGCGGUAAUACGUAGGGGGCAAGCGUUAUCCGGAUUUACUGGGUGUAAAGGGGGCGCAGACGGCAGUGCAAGUCUGGAGUGAAAGGCGGGGGCUCAGCCCCCGGACUGCUCUGGAAACUGUACGGCUGGAGUGCAGGAGAGG
rnacentral:rRNA from 1 species